rnacentral:rRNA from 1 species
CAGUCGCCACGGGAAUACGGAGGGGGCUAGCGUUGUUCGGAAUUACCGGGCGUAAAGCGCACGUAGGCGGCUUGGUAAGUUAGAGGUGAAAGCCUGGAGCUCAACUCCAGAAUUGCCUUUAAGACUGCCGAGCUAGCAGGUGAGAGAUGUAAGUGGAAUUCCGAGUGUAGAGGUGAAAUUCGUAGAUAUUCGGAAGAACACCAGUGGCGAAGGCGGCUUACUGGCUCAUACUGGACGCUGAGGUGCGAAAGCGUGGGGAGCAAACAGGAUUAGAUACCCCUGUAGUCCCUGUCUCUUAUAC